rnacentral:rRNA from 1 species
UGAGGAAUAUUGGUCAAUGGGCGAGAGCCUGAACCAGCCAAGUAGCGUGCAGGAUGACGGCCCUAUGGGUUGUAAACUGCUUUUGUAUGGGGAUAAAGUCAAUCACGUGUGAUUGUUUGCAGGUACCAUACGAAUAAGGACCGGCUAAUUCCGUGCCAGCAGCCGCGGUAAUACGGAAGGUCCGGGCGUUAUCCGGAUUUAUUGGGUUUAAAGGGAGCGUAGGCUGGAGAUUAAGUGUGUUGUGAAAUGUAGACGCUCAACGUCUGACUUGCAGCGCAUACUGGUUUCCUUGAGUACGCACAACGUUGGCGGAAUUCGUCGUGUAGCGGUGAAAUGCUUAGAUAUGACGAAGAACUCCGAUUGCGAAGGCAGCUGACGGGAGCGCAACUGACGCUGAAGCUCGAAGGUGCGGGUAUCGAACAGGAUUAGAUACCCUGGUAGUCCGCACAGUAAACGAUGGAUGCCCGCUGUUGGUACCUGGUAUCAGCGGCUAAGCGAAAGCAUUAAGCAUCCCACCUGGGGAGUACGCCGGCAACGGU